CGCGGGGCGUACUAUAAAACAUUACACUCAACAGCAAUUCAAAUCAUAAGUUGCACAUUCAUCCAGGCAAAAGAAUUAGGUUUUGGGCAACAGUAAUAACUGGCAUAUUACAGGCAUGGUAUGCUGUCCCAUGAGAGUGAACCACAGUAACAGAAGCAUUCGGUGUUGCAAAAGUAAAAUCUGUUGGUAGUAUUAAUGGUUGUGGAGCAAAGGCAUGCUAGGAUGACCCAAGCAAUAGACACAAGUUUGAUUGUACAAGUUUCAAAUUAUGGAUACCAAAGCAAUUUUCAGUAUGCCUAAUGUUGGUAAACUAGAAAAAGAAAAAACUGUACUGAUUCUCAAUUUGAGAGCCAGUCCACUAGAAAGAAAUUGUGAUCAAAACAACUAUUUACAAGGUUAGGGGAAAUUAUGUUUCAAGUUUCAUCUAAUUAUCAUAGGAUUUAUCAGUGAGAAAUAUUUAGUUCCAACAGAAAGAAAAAGACUGGAAAUUCAUUCCUAAAUCAGCUCUAGUUAACAGCCACCUUGGAACUUGUAUGCAUUGGGUAUAAUUUGUGACAAUUCCACAGCACUAUAUAGUUAUUCCUCAAUUUCUGGGGAUAAGUUUACAUUCCCUUAUAAUAUCAUGCAAUUCAUGAAAACAUUGUCAUCAUGAGGGCUAACUCCACUUGAAGUCUUCCAACUACUACACAUCGAGUAAUGAAUUGGCAUCAAAAGGUAACAAUGAAAUGAAGCAAAUAUUUCAUGAGGUAACAAAACUCUUAUGAACCAACAAACCAGAAACUGUGGAUACACACACAUGAGAUAAAGCAAGGGUUCAUUCACUAGGACAAACAGAUGAAGCCCCUACAUGCUUUCUUUAUUUAAUAGUUUCCUUUCACAUUCAUUAUAUGAACCUAGAAGAGGAAUUAAUGAUUAUCAAUUUCACAUUAUGCAGAACACCUGUUAAAGAAAGCCUUAAUGGCAAGAUGAAUAUCAUUUAGCAAGAAACUACAAAAUCAUCAAAUUCCAGGCCCCCAUCAGAAAAAGGAAUUAAUGACUCCUCACCAACAUCAAUGACAUAAUGAAAUUUCCAAGGAAUACCAAAUAAUGCCACUUGAACCAACAUUACUCGGUACAACAAAGAUCAAAUAUUAAACCAAUUACAAAGUGAAACUAUCCAUCACAUAGCAUCAAUAAAUUCUGACAAAUAACCAGUCAUUUUGUGCAACAAAGCAUGAAAUGCAUUUCAAAGAGGCAGAGACAUAGGCACAAAUUCUUGAAAGACAGCGAACUACAAAUGACAGAAACCAAAACUGUUCAUCUGCUUCAGUUUAAGGCAAGGACAAUUGAGAAACUCAGUUCAAUCAUCCAAAACCAAACUUCAAACUCAACUUACUGGGGAGAGCAUGCACAGCAAU
rnacentral:misc_RNA from 1 species